GAUCAAUGAUGAAAAUACCUGAAUCAGCGCAUUAGAAGACCUUCCAGUCUGCCUAUCUUCAUACUUCUGAGA